AGCCCGGUCGGCGGGUGGAGCCUGAUCCGUGAGCUCGCGGCCAAUCGCGCGGCGCCGGGGGAGGAGCCCCGAAGGGGGAAAAAGAAAGUGCGGCGGAAAGUAAGAGGCUGGGAGGGGAGACAGCCUGGAUCCAGGACUCUGGGGCGCGCCUCGGCCAGGGGCACGGAGUGGAGCAGCUUCCGGCGACCGUCCGCCUGUCCCGCCGCCUGGCUGCGCCCGAUCGGCUUCCCCGGAAAGGAUGGGAAUUCUAUGGUGUGUCCUGAGUAUCUACUUCUUUGGGAUCCUGCAAAGUGAUGCCUCGGAACGCUGUGAUGACUGGGGACUGGAUACCAUGAGACAGAUCCAAGUAUUUGAAGAUGAACCCGCUCGAAUCAAGUGCCCACUCUUUGAACACUUCUUGAAGUUUAACUACAGCACAGCCCAUUCAGCUGGCCUCACUCUGAUCUGGUAUUGGACUAGGCAGGACCGAGACCUUGAAGAGCCAAUUAACUUCCGGCUCCCUGAAAACCGCAUUAGUAAGGAGAAGGAUGUGCUCUGGUUCCGGCCUACCCUCCUCAAUGACACAGGAAACUAUACCUGCAUGUUGAGAAAUACUACAUAUUGCAGCAAAGUUGCAUUCCCCCUGGAAGUUGUUCAAAAAGAUAGCUGUUUCAAAUCCCCUAUGAAACUCCCAGUGGAAAAAUUGUAUGUAGAAGAUGGUAUUCAGAAGAUCACUUGUCCAAAUAUUGAUGGGUAUUUUCCUUCCACUGUCAAACCAAAUGUCACUUGGUAUAUGGAUUGUAAUUUAAUAAAGGAUUUUCAUAAUGUACUGCCUGAUGGCAUGAACUUGAGCUUUUUCAUUCCCUUUACUUCAAAUAAUGGAAAUUACACGUGUGUUGUUACAUAUCCAGAACACGGACGCAUCUUUCAUCUCACCAGGAGUGUGACUGUAAAGGUGGUAGGCUCUCCAAAAGAUGCAUCGCCCCCCAAGAUUUAUUCCCCCAACGAUCAUGUGGUCUAUGAGAAAGAACCAGGAGAGGAGCUACUCAUCCCUUGUACAGUCUAUUUUAGUUUUCUCAUGGACUCUCACAAUGAGAUUUGGUGGACCAUUGAUGGAAAAAAGCCUGAUGACAUCACUGUUGACAUAACCAUUAGUGAAAGUACAAGUUAUUCUAAAACGGAAGAUGAAACAAGAACUCAGGUCUUAAGCAUCAAGAAAGUAACCCCUGAGGAUCUCAGGCGCAACUAUGUCUGUCAUGCUAGAAAUGGCAAAGGAGAGGUUGACAAAGCAGCCGUUGUGAAACAGAAAGCACCAAGAUACACAGUGGAAUUGGCAUGUGGUUUUGGAGCUACAGUCCUGCUGGUGGUAAUUCUUAUUGUUGUUUACCACGUUUACUGGCUGGAGAUGGUUCUCUUUUAUCGGGCUCAUUUUGGAACAGAUGAAACCAUUCUAGAUGGGAAGGAGUAUGAUAUUUAUGUGUCUUACGCAAGAAAUGCUGAAGAAGAAGAAUUCGUCUUACUGACCCUCCGUGGAGUUUUGGAGAAUGAAUUUGGAUACAAGCUGUGCAUCUUUGAUCGAGAUAGUCUGCCUGGGGGAAAUACAGUGGAAGCAGUUUUUGAUUUCAUUCAGAGGAGCCGGAGGAUGAUUGUGGUCCUGAGCCCAGACUACCUGACGGAGAAGAGCAUCAGCAUGCUGGAGUUCAAACUGGGCGUCAUGUGCCAGAACUCCAUUGCCACCAAACUCAUUGUGGUGGAGUACCGGCCCCUUGAGCGUCCACACCCAGGCAUCCUGCAGUUGAAGGAGUCGGUGUCUUUUGUGAGCUGGAAGGGAGAAAAGUCCAAACAUUCCAGCUCCAAAUUCUGGAAGGCCUUGCGCUUGGCUCUUCCCCUCAGAAGUCUGAGUGCCAGUUCUGGCUGGAAUGAAAGCUGCUCUUCUCAGUCUGACAUCAGUCUGGAUCACGUUCAGAGGAGGAGAAGUCGUUUGAAAGAGGCCCCAGAACUCCAGAGCUCAGAGAGGCCUUCGGGGGCUCCCGCAGCCACAGGCACAGUGUCCAAACAGCGAGGGAAGCCCUCGGCAGCCUGCCGCUGCUGUGUCACCUACUGUGAAGGGGAGAGCCACCUGAGGAGCAAGAGCCGCGCAGAGAUCCACAGCCAGCCCCAGUGGGAGACGCACCUCUGUAAGCCUGCUCCCCAAGAGCCAGAAACUCAGUGGAUGCAAAAUGGCACCAGCUUGGGACCCCCCCCUGUGCCCCAGAUCUCUGCUCUUGCUCUUCACCAUUUCACAGAUGUAUCUAAUAACAAUGACUUUUAUAUCCUAUAAUUACCGUGUGUGGUGGGUGGUUGCUGCCUAUCCCUGCCAACCCUCUUUCUGUCAUCAACCUUUGGGAAUAACGGACUUUUUUAUCAUCUCAUGGACUAUCGGGUCUGUGUCCCUUUGAUUGAUUUUUUAAAAAACUAUUUAUUUCUAGGAGUCAAAAGACCUGAAGAACCCGAAUUCAGAGUUAUUGCGUCUAUUGGCCUCAGAAGAGCACUCUCUUCUUGGGCCCUAGAAGGCUCUGAUUUUCUCCAGCCAAGGAGGACUACGAAUCGUCAUUUUAACAAGUUGUUUGCAGGCAAUAGAUCAAAAUAUGGGGCAUGUUUAGCCCUUGGAGUUGCCUCAACACAAGGAGACAGUUGAAUACGGUGGUUUGCAGUGUAUAUUUAUCAUCGAUAUUUGUAAUGUGGUUGGAUUGCUAUAGUUAUCAUAUGCAUUAAAUAGACUAAGAUAAGCUCUGUUGGGCUAACAGCUCCAGUAUUUAUUUCAGCAGUUCUAUAUAAGAAGCCUUAUAUCUUGUUUAUGACACAUGUCCAACAGAGGGAGUUAAUUUUUUUGUAGCUUUGCCAUCUGAAGUGUGUGGCUUGCUGUUGGUCAAUGCUUCAGCUUAGAUCAACAUCCAUUAUUUUCAUAGAAUUUAUUGACUCCAAGAUUCAAAUGUAGUCAUAGACAAAGUCAUAGAAAACAUAGAAAACAUAGAAAAACACUUUCUGUGUCCCCAGGAAGAGAAAAAUUGAGUUGAACUUGGCAAAUACAUAAAUAUGUAGUAUUGUCUUCUUCUAUAUAGAAGAUGAAAAUGAGAUAUCCCGAAGAGGGAAGACACUUUAAAAUGAGAUAGGACUCAUGCUUUGAUAAUGAAAGAAUAGAAAGACUUGGUUGCCAACACCCCAAAGAAUCAAGAUAAAACAGCACACAGAAAAGAGUAGAUAUUUUCCAUAAAUAUUCUCCAAAUGAAAGUUAUUGAACAAAUGCAUAAUAAUUCUGACAGCUUCUCAUGAAGAGAAAGCAUGCUUAAAAAUGUGAAAGUUACUCUAUUUGGUUACUUUCCUUUCUGUGGCUUUAGUUAGUUCUCUAAGAAUAUGACACUCAAAUUACCUACAAAUGAGCCAUUUCAUUUUGAAUAUUCAAGGAGCCUCAGAAGAAUUGAAGGUAUUUAGAACACAGCAGAGCAUGUAACAUGGUCAUUAAAAAACCACACAUGAUCCAUUUAUCUAAAGAGCUAAAUAGGGAAUUCAAAUUGAGCAGGCUAACAACUCAGAUAAAGAAACAAAUGCUAGCGGGGUAGUAUGAACACUAGUGUGAGUAGCAGUCUGUCUAUGAUUGGGAUUCUGUAUUAAAGAUCUGGAUUUUAUAUGACUUCUUUAUUAUGUAAACUAUCAUUUGAUUCUAAGAAAAAAAAUCUCUGGGCUGAUAAAGAUGAGUUCUAAUGAGUUAAUACAUAAGGUUGAACAAAGAAGUGCUAUUUCCUAGUGUAGUGUACGCCUUCAAAAUCCUUUUAAGAAUAAUUCGAAUCCUUAUUUUCCCUUGGAAAUUUCAAACAUUUAGAAAUAUUUAAAUGCAAAGAACAAUGCUGAAAUGUUCCUAUGGGAAGAAAGCAGGAAGGUUCCAAAUAAAUUCUAAAAUCAGAUCGUGAGUUAUUUUUAUUUUUUGCUAGAUAAUAGACAUUUUAAUACUCUCUUUGUUUUAUUUCUAAAAAUUAAGAUGAAAUGGGACAUGCAUUUCUAUUGUCAUAAGCUGUGUCAUGUGCUUUCAGUUAAUUUAUUAUUAACUGUACCCUGUUUGGAAACACCUUUUGAAAGUUGUUUUUAACCAGAAUUGAACGUCAUUCUUCAAAAAAAAAAAAUGUAAAUAGCUGGGAUCGAUCCCAGCCCAGUAAAUCUCCCUGAAUGAUUUAGAUGUGUGCUCUUGUAAGGAUAAUUGCCUUAAG